rnacentral:rRNA from 1 species
ACAAAAACAUUUCCUCUUAGAUAAAGAGGUAAGGCCUGCUCACUGAUUAAUUAAAGAGCCGCAGUAUCCUAACUGUGCUAAGGUAGCAUAAUCAUUAGUCUUUUAAUUGGAGACUGGUAUGAAUGGCUAAACGAAAAAUUAACUUUUUUUGUCAUGAAUAUUGAAUUUAAUUUUUUAGUGAAAAAGCUAAAAUAAGUUAGAAAGACGAGAAGACCCUAUAGAGUUUUAUAUUAAGAUAAAUUUUUUCUUAUUAGAUUUUUAUAGAUAAAGUUUAAAAUAGUAUUUUGUUGGGGCGACAUUAAGAUAAACAAAACUCUUUAUUUUAAAAAUUUUAAUUAAAAUAUAGUUUGACCCUUUUAAAAAGAUCAAAAGAAAAAAUUACCUUAGGGAUAACAGCGUAAUCUUUUUUGAGAGUUCUAAUCGACAAAAAGGUUUGCGACCUCGAUGUUGGACUAAAAUUUAGGCAGGGUGCAGCAGUCUUGCUUAA